rnacentral:RNase_P_RNA from 1 species
CCAGAUGGCCGGAUGGCCGCCUUCGACUCCGUCGGGGGAGGAAAGUCCGGGCUCCACGGAAACACGGUGCCGGCUAACGGCCGGCGGGGGCGACCCUAGGGAAAGUGCCACAGAAAGCAAACCGCCGCGCGCAUCCAGGCUUUUGCCAUGGGGGCCGCGGUAAGGGUGAAAGGGUGCGGUAAGAGCGCACCGCGCCCCUGGCAACAGGGGCGGCACGGUAAACCCCACCGGGAGCAAGACCGAAUAGGGGCGGCACGGCCCGCCAUCCCUUUUGGGAUGGUAUGGGGCCAAGCGCGUUUCCGCGCCGCCGCCCGGGUUGGUCGCGAGAGGCGCCGGGCAACCGGCGUCCCAGAUGAAUGGCCAUCCAUCGGGGGAAACCCCGAGGACAAAACCCGGCUUACAGGCCAUCUGGCGCU